rnacentral:rRNA from 1 species
AUGAAGAUCGAGAGGAUGGCCGCGCACGCUCCGUGGGGGAGUUCAGGUGACGUCGUCGACGCCGACCACCGCCUCGGUGCCCAGCUGGGCUUCACGGGGUCGUUCGUCAUCGGGGUUUUCGCGGCGGCAGUCACGGCCGCCGUGGCGGCGUGCAUCUGGCGGCGCUGCAUUCGUAAGCCAUUGCCUCCGCAGCAGCAGCAGCAAGACCAGCAGCACCACCACCACCACCAGCAAGAUCCGCCGCCGCCGCCGCAGGAGCACUUGCUGCAGUGGCUGCAGCAACUCGGCGGCGGCGGCGGCCACCGCUCUUCGGCGGCCGAAGACGGAUCCUUCGCCAGCGAUGUCCAGCAGCAAGGGCUCGCUUCGUUUAGCUUCAGCGGCAGCGGCAGCGGCGGCGGCGGCGGAUCGGCCAGCGGCGCACCGGAAGGGCAGGGGGAGAGCGGCGGCGGAGCACCGGGAAUGCAGAGCGGGAGCAGCGGUGGCGCAGCGGAACGGAAGGGGGAGAGCAGCGGCGGAUCAGCCAGCGGCGCACCGGAAGGGCAGGGGGAGAGCGGCGGCGGAACACCGGGAGGGCAGGGCGGGAGCGUCGGCGGCGCACUGGACGGGGAGGAGAUGGUAUAG